rnacentral:rRNA from 1 species
UGAGGAAUAUUGCACAAUGGGCGCAGGCCUGAUGCGGCAACGCCGCGUGCGGGACGAAGGCCUUCGGGUCGUAAACCGCUUUUCUGGGGAAAGAGCAAGGACGGUACCUCAGGAAUAAGUCUCGGCUAACUACGUGCCAGCAGCCGCGGUAAAACGUAGGAGGCGAGCGUUAUCCGGAUUUACUGGGCGUAAAGCGCACGCAGGCGGCUCUGUGAGUCGGACGUGAAAGCUCCCGGCUUAACCGGGAGAGGCCGUUCGAUACUGCGGGGCUUGAGGUAGGGAGAGGAAUGCGGAAUUCCCGGUGUAGUGGUGGAAUGCGUAGAUAUCGGGAGGAACGCCUGUGGCGAAAGCGGCAUUCUGGCCCUCACCUGACGCUGAGGUGCGAAAGCGUGGGUAGCAAACAG